CGGGAAGACGCGCUGCGUCUCCCUGCUGUCCCCGGAGCUUGGGGGCAGGCAGCGGGGAGAAGCGCUCUUCUCCCCGCCGCCCGCCUUCACAUCAGGUCCGGGGACAGCGGGAAGACGCGCUGCGUCUCCCAGCUGUCCCCGGAGCUUGGGGCAGGCAGCGGGAGAGCGCUCUUCUCCCCGCCGCCCGCCUUCACAUCAAGUCUGGGGACAGCGGGAAGACGCGCUGCGUCUCCCAGCUGUCCCCGGAGCUUGGGGGCAGGCAGCGGGGAGAGGCGCUCUUCUCCCCGCCGCCCGCUUCACAUCAGGUCCGGGGACAGCGGGAAGACGCGCUGCGUCUCCCAGCUGUCCCCGGAGCUUGGGGGCAGGCAGCGGGAGAGCGCUCUUCUCCCCGCCGCCCGCCUUGAUAUCAAGUCCGGGGACAGCGGGAAGACGCGCUGCGUCUCCCAGCUGUCCCCGGAGCUGGGGGCAGGCAGCGGGGAGCGCUCUUCUCCCUGCCGCCCGCCUUGAGAUCAGGUCCGGGGACAGCGGGAGACGCGCUGCGCCUCCCAGCUGUCCCCGGGCUUGGGGGCAGGCAGCGGGGAGAAGCGCUCUUCUCCCUGCCGCCCGCCUUGAUAUCAAGUCCGGGGACAGCGGGAACAAGCGCUGCGUCUCCCAGCUGUCCCCGGAGCUUGGGGGCAGGCAGCGGGGAGAAGCGCUCUUCUCCCUGCCGCCCGCCUUGAGAUCAGGUCCGGGAACAGCAGGAAGACGCGCUGCGUCUCCCAGCUGUCCCCGGAGCUUGCGGGGCCGGCGGCGGGGUCUCCCCGCCGUCAGCCUCCAAACCACUUCGGGAGACAGCGGGAUGGCGGCGUUCCGCCUCCCUCUGUCCCCCGACCUUGUGGGGCUGGCGCUGGGGCUCUCCAGGCUUCAGUGAAAGCCUGCAUUCGCACCAUAGGACGCACACACAUUUCCCCUUCAUUUUUGGAGGGGAAAAAGUGCGUCCUAUAGUGCGAAAAAUACGGUACCUCAA